rnacentral:rRNA from 1 species
AACGAACGUUAGCGGCGCGCUUAACACAUGCAAGUCGCACGAGAAAGGGCUUCGGCCCCGGUAAAGUGGCGCACGGGUGAGUAACACGUGGGUAACCUGCCCUCGAGCGGGGGAUAACAUUCCGAAAGGAGUGCUAAUACCGCAUAGGACCACGACCUCGAAAGGGGUUGAGGUGAAAGCUGGCCUCUGUACACAUGCUAGCACUUGAGGAUGGGCCCGCGGGGCAUCAGGUAGUUGGUGAGGUAAUGGCUCACCAAGCCUAAGACGCCUAGCUGGUCUGAGAGGAUGAUCAGCCACACUGGAACUGAGACACGGUCCAGACUCCUACGGGAGGCAGCAGUGGGGAAUCUUGCGCAAUGGACGAAAGUCUGACGCAGCGACGCCGCGUGGGUGAUGAAGGCCUUCGGGUCGUAAAGCCCUGUGGGGAGAGAAGAAUAAGCAAGGGCUAAUACUCCUUGUGAUGACGGUAUCUCCUUAGCAAGCACCGGCUAACUCUGUG